rnacentral:rRNA from 1 species
CCGGGUACAAUGCGAAGCGAAGCAGCGAUGUGAAGCAAAUCGCACCAAAGCCGGUCCCAGUUCGGAUAAGAGGCUGAAACUCGCCUCUUUGAAGUCGGAAUCGCUAGUAAUCGCAGAUCAGCAUGUUGCGGUGAAUACGUUUCCUGGUCUUGUACACACCGCCCGUCAAACCAUGAGAGUCGCCAACACCCGAAGUCCGCUUUGCGGCCUAAGGUGGGGGAGAUGAUUGGGGUUAAGUCGUAACAAGGUAGC